rnacentral:rRNA from 1 species
GGGAAACUGCCUGAUGGAGGGGGAUAACUACUGGAAACGGUAGCUAAUACCGCAUAACGUCGCAAGACCAAAGAGGGGGACCUUCGGGCCUCUUGCCAUCGGAUGUGCCCAGAUGGGAUUAGCUAGUAGGUGGGGUAACGGCUCACCUAGGCGACGAUCCCUAGCUGGUCUGAGAGGAUGACCAGCCACACUGGAACUGAGACACGGUCCAGACUCCUACGGGAGGCAGCAGUGGGGAAUAUUGCACAAUGGGCGCAAGCCUGAUGCAGCCAUGCCGCGUGUAUGAAGAAGGCCUUCGGGUUGUAAAGUACUUUCAGCGGGGAGGAAGGUGUUGAGGUUAAUAACCUCGGCAAUUGACGUUACCCGCAGAAGAAGCACCGGCUAACUCCGUGCCAGCAGCCGCGGUAAUACGGAGGGUGCAAGCGUUAAUCGGAAUUACUGGGCGUAAAGCGCACGCAGGCGGUCUGUCAAGUCGGAUGUGAAAUCCCCGGGCUCAACCUGGGAACUGCAUUCGAAACUGGCAGGCUAGAGUCUUGUAGAGGGGGGUAGAAUUCCAGGUGUAGCGGUGAAAUGCGUAGAGAUCUGGAGGAAUACCGGUGGCGAAGGCGGCCCCCUGGACAAAGACUGACGCUCAGGUGCG